rnacentral:lncRNA from 1 species
CAAAAGUGUGUGUGUAUAUAUAUAUGUGUGUAUGGGUAUGUGUGUGCGCGUGCAGACAGUGGUAGUGGGCGUGUACAGAGUCUAAUCUGGGCUCGUGUGUCAGCUGGCAGUGUGUAAUAACACUCGUGGGAAGCGCGCGCAGACAGGAGGUGGGGGUACACGCGCGCGCACGCAGCUGCAGCAGACUGGAACAUGGGUCUGCUCCGGACUGGAUCACCGGUUCUGCUGGUUCUGCUGGUUCUACUGGGUUCGGUGUCCAGCUUUAUACCCUCCCCACUGCACAACAUCCUGCCUUUACCUGCAGGUCCACAGGAUGCACUGAAGAGGUUUGAUCCAUGUUGCCUACUGACUCCGCCUCCCCCUCCAUUGUUCCCGCCCCCUCCCAGCAUCUGGAGACAAGUCCGUGUGGUCCCAGAAUCUGUCUCAGAAGUUGAAAGAGAAAGAGAGCGAGAUGAAUCAGAAACGAAGGAACAGUGUCUACCAGGACCUCCAGGACCCCCGGGACCUGCUGGACCACAGGGACACGGAGGUCUUCCAGGAGUACCAGGACCCAAGGGAGAUAAGGUUAGUCUGAUUAGUAUCAGUCUGUAGUUUAUUUAUCUGUAAAUUAUUAAUUAUUAAAAACUAUGAUUUAC